GGUGUGCACUGAUGGUGGUCGGUGUGUGCGCUGAUGGUGGUUGGUGCGUGCGCUGAUGGUGGUUGGUGCGUGUGCUGUGGUGGCUGGUGUGUGUGCUGAUGGUGAUUGGUGUGCACUGAUGGUGGUUGGGGUGUGCGCUGAUGGUGGUUGGUGUGUGUGCUGAUGGUGAUUGGUGUGCACUGAUGGUGGUUGUUGUGUGUGCUGAUGGUGGUUAGUGGUGUUGCUGAUGGUUGGUGUGGUGGUGUGUGAGGUCUUGGUGUUAGUCAUCUU
rnacentral:lncRNA from 1 species